rnacentral:lncRNA from 1 species
GAAUAUUUGAGCUGAAUCAGUUUUUACUGUGUAAGUUGUAGAUUUGUUCCCUCUGUGGAGUCCACAGCUUCAUGCAGUCGGUUUAGCUGACUUUCUUGUGGCACUGAGGGCAGUUUGAGUGCAUUACAGCAGACUGAUCUUCUCUGUUAUCUUUCCAGUGUGAGUGCACGAAAGGAUCUCACAGAUGAACAUGUGGCCCCUGACACUCCAGCCACCUCUUCUGCACCAGUCUCACCUCCAGCUGAGGCUCAGACGAAUAAAUCAAAGAAGGCUUCCUGGUGGCGCAGAUGGCUUUUUUGUGAGAAAAAGUCAAAGGUUUUUCCCAAAAAUGAAGACAAGGCAGAAGACACGGUCGUGCCACCUUCUGAACCCCAACAGAGUACCAUCAGCACUGAAAAAUGUGAAGUCAAGGACGUUGGUGUCCAGACAGAGGUUUCCUGCCCUCCAAACUCGCUGCUGUUUUUCUGCACGGUACGUUCUACAGAGCCGAGUGUGACACGUGAACAGAUGUUAUAGGAACAUGUGGAGUCUGAAUGUUAGGAUUGACACUCAAAUUCUCAUUAUGUCAUCCAUUUUGGUUGAACUAACUGGUGAUGUGUUCCUCAAAGAAAAAGGUGACCUUAGAUGAUGAGCCGCGUUGUCCUGAAGUCAAUGAGAGAGAUGAGCCAGUUUCCAGGCCGUGUACCCCAGCAGGUCACGGUGGUAGCCAGGGAGCCAUGCUAAGAGACCACGUCACACACUGCUGACUAACAUACGAUGAUGAGUUCGUCAAUGAUGAGCAGUGGCAGAGAACAGCUUACCUGCUGUUCUAUGAAAAACAGGUGAUUUCUCCCAUCAAACAGCUGGAUUGUAAAUGGUAAAUGGCCUGUAUUUGUAUAGUGCUUUACUAGUCCCUAAGGACCCCAAAGCGCUUUACAUCCAUCCAUUCACACACACAUUCACACACUGGUGAUGGCAAGCUACAUUGUAGCCUCAGCCACCCUGGGGCGCACUGACAGAGGCGAGGCUGCCGAACACUGGCGCCACCGGGCCCUCUGACCCUGGAUUGUGUUGGAUACUGUCGUUUAUAUAAGAUUUUAUUGUAAUGUAUAGUAUAUAAGACUUUUAUUUUAUUUGUAUCUUUUUAUGUUUAUGUUGUUUAGUGUACACCGAGGGCCGUGGGAGCGUUGCAAUUACAAAUUCUUGUGUAUGACCUGUCCAUAUGUUUUUUUGACAAAAAGAUGACUUUGAAUUUGAG